CUCGUAGGCGGUUCGUCGCGUCGGCUGUGAAAACCCGGAGCUCAACUCCGGGCCUGCAGUCGAUACGGGCGGACUGGAGUUCGGCAGGGGAGACUGGAAUUCCUGGUGUAGCGGUGAAAUGCGCAGAUAUCAGGAGGAACACCGGUGGCGAAGGCGGGUCUCUGGGCCGAUACUGACGCUGAGGAGCGAAAGCGUGGGGAGCGAACA
rnacentral:rRNA from 1 species